GCAUGCAAUGAUGAGAAUUAUUCACAUGUACAGUUAUCCCUGUCUGAAGACUAUUGUUGAGACUUAUUCACACUCUGACAGCAUGA
rfam:Rachicladosporium sp. CCFEE 5018 unplaced genomic scaffold Supercontig_21, whole genome shotgun sequence.